rnacentral:rRNA from 1 species
UACAGAGGGUGCGAGCGUUAAUCGGAAUUACUGGGCGUAAAGCGUGCGUAGACGGCUAUCUAAGUCGGGUGUGAAAGCCCCGGGCUCAACCUGGGAAUUGCAUUCGAGACUGAAUAGCUAGGGUACGGUAGAGGGAAGCGGAAUUUCCGGUGUAGCGGUGAAAUGCGUAGAUAUCGGAAGGAACAUCAGUGGCGAAAGCGACUUCCUGGUCCAGCAUCGACGUCAGGCACGAAAGCGUGGG